UCCACCUACAUCCACACCUCCACCUACAUCCACACCUCCUCCUACAUCAACCUUUCUUCCUCGGUCCACCUCCAUCGCUCUUCCUCCAUCACUCUCUCCUCCUGUUCUCUCUGUGUUGUCAUCUGUUGGGUCAGUCUGUGUUGUGGUUCUACUGGUGUUACUGGUUUUGCUGGUGAGACGAUGUGUUCACAGGAAACCUGAAGCAGAUCGAGAUGAAGAUGACAUCAUCACUCAUGUUAUGUACAGUUACAUCAAAACAUCAAAUCAGCAGCAGCCAAUCAGAGACAGCAGAGAGACUGAUUCAGCUGUGGUCUACUCAGCAGUGAGAACCCAAGACGUUAGUUAUGGACAAAAAACCAUCAGAACAAGGAGGCCCAGGUACAGCUGCUCUUUAUCUUUGGACAGAGACAAGCUAGCUGCUCACACUGUUUCUUGUCAUCAUGCUUAGCUAACCAAAACCACACCAUGACUCAGAAAAAAGAUGGCAUAUUUUUUAAUAUGUGCAGCAGAAUGUAUGAUUGGUUAUAGAUUGCUUAAGAAUACAACUCUGAUAUUGUUUUUCUAUGACUAGGAUAAAGUACAUUGUAUGUACCAUCAAAUUUAAUUUUAAAAUUCUCUUUCUAAUAAAUGUAAGUUGUCAGAAUAAGUGAAAACAAGUCAGACAUAUACAUAGAAUAGAAUAGAAUAGAAUGUCUUCAUUGUCACUAUACUGUUGUACAAUGAGAUACAGAGCAUCUCCUACUCAGUGUAAACAUGCUAGGGGGGAGAGUUCUGCAACACUAUAUACAUAUGGACAGUAUUAACAGAGGAAAAACAUUAUAUGUAAAAUGUACAAAUAUACAAGCCAGUUUUGAAAAAUAAUAUGUAAUUAAUAGUAUUAUGUAUAUACUGUUGGGUUAUUGCACAUAGAAUUUUGUAUUGCAGUGUACCACCAUAGAGGAAAUGGGAAAAAAUUGGGGUGCAUGUGUGAGUUCAGGGUGGUUAUGGCUUUAGGGAAGAAACUGUUUUUGAGUCUGUGGGUUUUUGUGCUGAUGCACCUGUAGCUCUUCCCUGAGGGAAGCAGGCUGAACAUGUUAAAACCAGGGUGGGAGUUGUCCUUGAUAAUGUUUGCUGCUCUGCUGAGUAGGGAUGGGUAUCGUUUAGGUUUUAUCCGAUACCGGUGCCAAAUCGGUAC